UAUUGUCCAGCUUUGUUAUUGUCACUGCUUUAGUAACCACCUUUCCAUGUUGACAAGAACUCCUGUCUUUUAUUGCCUUAGCGAUGCCGUCUCCUGAGAGGUCCAAGAAUCACCUCAGCACUUUCUUAUGUGCGAUAGGCCAGACCAAGUAAGGGCCUGCCUCACUACUGGAGCCAACUCAGGUGUCCUCCCAAGGCCAGGGAUCUGCAUCACUUCCAGAUUGUUUCGGAAUGAGUCCUGGCAUUGCUGCUACCAAGGAGAAAAGCUCAAGACACAGAUGUCCAC
rnacentral:lncRNA from 10 species